UACGUAGGGUGCGAGCGUUAAUCGGAAUUACUGGGCGUAAAGCGUGCGCAGGCGGUUCGCCAAGUCAGGUGUGAAAUCCCCGGGCUUAACCUGGGAGUUGCGCUUGAAACUAGCGGGCUUGAGUGUGGCAGAGGGGGGUGGAAUUCCACGUGUAGCAGUGAAAUGCGUAGAGAUGUGGAGGAACACCGAUGGCGAAGGCAGCCCCCUGGGUCAACACUGACGCUCAUGCACGAAAGCGUGGGGAGCAAACAGG
rnacentral:rRNA from 1 species